rnacentral:tRNA from 1 species
GCCGCCCUAGCUCGACAGGUACAGCAGUGGCCUCUUAAGCCAUUGGGUGUGGGUUCGACCCCCACGGGCGUGC